CCAUGUUUCAGUCGAUAUUAUGGAGUUAAUUUGGAAAAAAGUUCGGCAUUUUGAAGACUGAAUUUUCGUUUUUUUUUGGUAGCCAAACGUGACGCACCAAACGGAGCAAUUUCUCCUAAACAAAUAAUCUUUCAGGAAAAACUGAGCAUUUGCUAUCUAACUGAGAGUCUCCUCAUUGAAAACAACUGAAGUUCUUCAAAGGUUUUUUUCGUUUGCCAAACGUGACGCACCAAACGGAGCGAUUUCUCCUAAACAAAUAAUCUUUCAGGAAAAACUGAGCAUUUGCUAUCUAACUGAGAGUCUCCUCAUUGAAAACAUCUGAAGUUCUUCAAAGGUUGAAGGACCACCCUGACACCCUGCAAAUGUAAAGAACUUGUUGUGAACCUGCCGGCCACCAGGAUUAUCACCAUAUCCAAAUAUAUUAUUCAGGAGUGUGCAACAUCACCAUGUUGAAUAGAAAUAGAUUCCCAAAUGGUAUUGUUUAUCAUGCAGAUGUAUCAGGACAUUGUCAUUUAUGAAGCCCAUUCUUAAAUACAGAUGUAAUUUCUCUCCCAGGAGAUUGCACUGUGUGCAAGUCUUCAAUUAGUUGAAUUAGGUGUUAGUGUAGGGCUAGAACAAAAACCUGUAAACUCCUGUCCUGUGUAUAAACAAAACCUGUGGCUGUCAUGACACAAUUUGCCCUCAUGUACUGAACAAGCCUAUGA
ensembl:lncRNA